GCAGUAGCCGCGGUAAUACAGAGGGUGCGAGCGUUAAUCGGAUUUACUGGGCGUAAAGCGUGCGUAGGCGGCUUCUUAAGUCGGAUGUGAAAUCCCUGAGCUUAACUUAGGAAUUGCAUUCGAUACUGGGAAGCUAGAGUAUGGGAGAGGAUGGUAGAAUUCCAGGUGUAGCGGUGAAAUGCGUAGAGAUCUGGAGGAAUACCGAUGGCGAAGGCAGCCAUCUGGCCUAAUACUGACGCUGAGGUACGAAAGCAUGGGGAGCAAACAGGAUUAGAUACCCGAGUAGUCCCUGUCUCUUAUAC
rnacentral:rRNA from 1 species